rnacentral:rRNA from 1 species
GACGAACGCUGGCGGCGUGCUUAACACAUGCAAGUCGAACGAAGUGGCGAACGGGUGAGUAACGCGUAAUCAACCUGCCCUUCAGAGGGGGACAACAGUUGGAAACGACUGCUAAUACCGCAUACUGAAGGCGGGGAUUGCGUCUGAUUAGCUGGUUGGCGGGGGAACGGGCCCACAAGGCGAUGAUCAGUAGCCGGGCUGAGGGGAGGAACGGCAACAUUGGGAAUGAGACACGGCGCAGACUCCUACGGGCGGGCGCAGUGUGGAAUCUGUCGCAAUGGACGAAAGUCUGACGGAGCAACGCCGCGUGAGUGAUGACGGCCUUCGGGUUGUAAAGCUCUGUUAAUCGGGACGCGGUACCGGAAUAGAAAGCCACGGCUAACUACGUGCCAGCAGCCGCGGUAAUAC